rnacentral:lncRNA from 1 species
UGUUUUUUUUAAGGUCUUUCCCCUUCGUGAGGAAAGACCUUAUUGUUUUUCUAAUGUUUUUUUUUUCUUUUUCUUUUUCUUUUUUUUCUUUUUUUUUCUUCCAACAUUUUUUUGACAUGCCCGCCUCUUGUUUCUGUUGAAGUUAUUAAGACCAAAUAUGGACCAUCGCUAGACCUCACAAAGAUGUAUUACCAAAUGACCCUGUUAAGUAUUUCAUCAUCCCCUUUAUGAGUUAUCUCUCUUUUAUUGAUUUUUUUCAACAUGGUCCCCCCUUGUUGGUUUUAAAGAUAUAAUGACCCUGAUUGAACAAAAUGUAGAUCUCAUCAUGAUGUAUUACCAUGUGAGUCUGAAUAUGAUUCCAUCGUCCCCUAUGAGAGUUAUAUCCCCUUGAAACAAUUUCUUUCCUUUGCAUUUUACUCAAAAAGUAUUAGAGAUAAAAUCGAUUUGAAAACGGCAACAUGUACAGGAACAGAUGGCAAUGUUAAUGAACAUAUACAAUCAUUUUGUUAUUAACCGUUAUAAGGAGUUAUUCCCCUUGAAAAACUGUGAACAAUUUUAGAAAAAUUGUAUUUCGAGAACCGGAAGUCGUAGAAACUUGGGACCUUCACCAAUAAUCUUUAAUUCAUGUGACCUUUAAUAUGCAGUCCAAGGUCAAAGGUCACCGAGUGCAAAAAAAAAUUACGCUGCAAUUUCAAGCUUACAUAUUAGGAAAACGAUAAGACUUUGCUGCAUACAUACAGCGUAUAAAAUGUUCCUCUCGACGAGCUCUACAUUUUAUAUAAUAAGCCCAAAAAUGUCCGACCGUCUGUUCAAAAGUUACAACGGGAUGAUUCUUAAAAGUAUAGUAUUUUGUGUAUAUCUUUUUAAAGGUAACAGAUAUCAACCUACUAUAAACUGCAAAGAUGAUCAGUAAUUCAAGACCUUCAAUUUGAGGUCAAUGUCAGGUCAUGAUGAAAUUUCACCUUGACCUUCACAUUAUACUAUGACCUUGACCUUGUGAUAUUUGAAAGGUCAAGUGGUCCUGAGUUGAAUGGGGGUAGUCCCAUGUCUCUACGACUUCCGGUUCUCAAGUUUGGUAUUGCAUCAUAUAUUUGAUGAUUAAUUGUGACCUUGGUGAACUUUGAAAUUGUCCCAAUUCUUUUUCUAUAAUGUUGUCCUUUAACUGUAGAUCAUUUACCAUUUAACAGAUUUGAGAUAUCUAUUGUCGUUUUAGAGAUAAUGCAGUUUGAAAUUUUGCGAGCGGCGGCAUGUAUUUCUGAAUCAACAACAGCUUACCACUUAAAAUGUUUAAGAAAUUGAAGAGGUUAACAUAGUUAUAUGUUUGACCAAAUACCAAAAACAUUCCCUUUUAAAAAAAACACCAAAAAAUCAUUUUGAAAUUUUCAUGUUUUGCAUUGACUUUGUAAGUUUCAUAACUUCUAUUUAUAUCGUUGAUAUUGCAUCAUUUUUUGACACUUUGUCAAAUGGGGUCAUCUGAUAUAUCAAAUUGAAGGUCUCAAUAAACUCUACUUAAAAAAUGAAAAAUUUAAACCUCUUUUUCAUCCCAGGUGGAAGGUGGGGUCAUUUAGUGCAAACAUUCAAAUUUCUCAGAUGGUAAGGUUGUCGCAUAUCAAAUGAAAGAACAUAAAGCGUACAUUUCAAAUUUCAAAUUGACGUCCCCCAAAAAUGGGUUGGAUGGGGUCAUUGAGUGCAAAAAAUAAAUUUUCUUUAACGAUAGGGUUGUUGUAUAUCAAAUGAAAGGUCAUGAUGUGUACAUUUGAAAUAUCAAAUUCCCAACCUCCAAAAAUUGGUUGGAUGGGGUUAUUAAGUGCAAAAAUCAAACUUUUUAGAACAUGGCGUUGUCGCAUAUCAAAUGAAAGCUCAUCUACCCUGUGUUACAUAUAUCAUACUUCCGAUCUCAAAAAUGUAGGCGGAUGAGGUCAUUAAGUGUAAAAAGCGAAAAGUUUCAGAAGGUAUGCUUGUCGUAUAUCAAACGAAAGGUCGUACAAAGUACAAUACGAAAACAUCACUUUUACAGGAAAGACCUUUCAAUUGUUUUACAAACAAUUGAGAUACUAGUUUUUAAGGUCUUUCCCCUUCGUGAGGAAAGACCUUAUUGUUUUUCUAAUUUUUUUUUUUUUUUUUUUCUUCCAACAUUUUUUUGGCAUGGCCUCCCCUAUGUUUCUUUGAAGUUAUCAAGACCAAAACAUGGACCAUCGAUAAACCUCAUCAUGAGGUAUAACCAGAUGACCCUGUUAAGGAUUUCAUCAUCCCCUUUAUAAGUUAUCUCCCUUUUAUUAGUUUUUUUCAACAUGGCCCCCUCUCGUUGUUUUUCAAGAUAUCAUUACCUUAUUUGGACAAUAGGUAGAUCUCAUCAUAAUGUAUUACCAUAUGAGGUUGAAUAGGAUUUCAUCGUCCCCUAUGAGAGUUAUAUCCCCUUGAAGCAAUUUCUUUCCUUUGCAUUUUUCUCAAAAAGUAUUAGAGAUAGAAUUGAUUUGAAAACGGCAACAUGUACAGGAACAGAUGGCAAUGUUAAUGAACAUAUACAAUCAUUUUGUUAUUAACCCUUAUAAGGAGUUAUUACCCUUGAAAAAUUGUGUACAAUUUUAGAAAAAUUGUAUUUCCAGAACCGAAAGUUGUAGAGACUUGGGACCUUCACCAAUAAUCUUUAAUUCAUGUGACCUUUAAUAUGCACCCAAGGUCAAAGGUCACAGAGUGCAAAAUAAAAUUACGCUGCAAUUUCAAGCUUACAUAUUAGGAAAACGAUAAGACUUUGCUGCAUACAUACAGCGUAUAAAAUGUUCCUCUCGACGAGCUCUACAUUUUAUAUAAUAAGCCCAAAAAUGUCCGACCGUCUGUUCAAAAGUUACAACGGGAUGAUUCUUAAAAGUAUAGUAUUUUGUGUAUAUCUUUUUAAAGGUAACAGAUAUCAACCUACUAUAAACUGCAAAGAUGAUCAGUAAUUCAAGACCUUCAAUUUGAGGUCAAUGUCAGGUCAUGAUGAAAUUUCACCUUGACCUUCACAUUAUACUAUGACCUUGAACUUGUGAUAUUUGAAAGGUCAAGUGGUCCUGAGUUGAAUGGUGAUAGUCCCAUGUCUCUACGACUUCCGGUUCUCAAGUUUGGUAUUGCAUCAUAUAUUUGAUGAUUAAUUGUGACCUUGGUGAACUUUGAAAUUGUCCCAAUUCUUUUUCUAUAAUGUUGUCCUUUAACUGUAGAUCAUUUACCAUUUAACAGAUUUGCGAUAUCUAUUGUCGUUUCAGAGAUAAUGCAGUUUGAAAUUUUGCGAGCCGCGGCAUGUAUUUCUGAAUCAGCAACAGCUUACCACUUAAAAUGUUUAAGAAAUUGAAGAGGUUAACAUAGUUAUAUGUUUGACCAAAUACCAAAAA